GCAGUGGUGGCUCAGUGGUAGAAUUAUUGCCUUCCACUUGGAGACCUGGGUUUGACUCCCAGCCAAUGCA
rnacentral:tRNA from 1 species